rnacentral:lncRNA from 1 species
ACUGAGAGUGCUAAUUAAUUUACAGUGCAAGGGAUGGGUCUCAGUACACAACUACCUGGGCCUGAAGUCAACCAUGCUGCAACGACCUGUAUUUUUCGCCCCAGAGACAGGAUUCAACCAAGAUCACAAGUUAUAUACUCCUUCCUAGGUACAUUCCUGACUCUGUGUCAAGAAAAGAAUACUCAACUGCUCAAAUCUGAUCACAUUUGCUUCCCAACUAAAUGGCAUCUUCUUGUGAGAUAUAGACCCCCUAUUUGGUCUUCAGCAUCAGAUUACUGUAAACCUAACCAAUUUGGAACUCUCAGUAAUAAAGUUGAUGAAAAUUAAUUGCAUAUAUUGAGCAAAAGUUCCCC